GUGACUGCGUACCUUUUGUAUAAUGGGUCAGCGACUUAUAUUCUGUAGCAAGGUUAACCGAAUAGGGGAGCCGGAGGGAAACCGAGUCUUAAUUGGGCGUUAAGUUGCAGGGUAUAGACCCGAAACCCGGUGAUCUAGCCAUGGGCAGGUUGAAGGUUGGGUAACACUAACUGGAGGACCGAACCGACUAAUGUUGAAAAAUUAGCGGAUGACCUGUGGCUGGGGGUGAAAGGCCAAUCAAACCGGGAGAUAGCUGGUUCUCCCCGAAAGCUAUUUAGGUAGCGCCUCGUGAAUUCAUCUCCGGGGGUAGAGCACUGUUUCGGCUAGGGGGCCAUCCCGGCUUACCAACCCGAUGCAAACUGCGAAUACCGGAGAAUGUUAUCACGGGAGACACACGGCGGGUGCUAACGUCCGUCGUGAAGAGGGAAACAACCCAGACCGCCAGCUAAGGUCCCAAAGUCAUGGUUAAGUGGGAAACGAUGUGGGAAGGCCCAGACAGCCAGGAUGUUGGCUUAGAAGCAGCCAUCAUUUAAAGAAAGCGUAAUAGCUCACUGGUCGAGUCGGCCUGCGCGGAAGAUGUAACGGGGCUAAACCAUGCACCGAAGCUGCGGCAGCGACACUGUGUGUUGUUGGGUAGGGGAGCGUUCUGUAAGCCUGCGAAGGUGGCCUGUGAGGGUUGCUGGAGGUAUCAGAAGUGCGAAUGCUGACAUAAGUAACGAUAAAGCGGGUGAAAAGCCCGCUCGCCGGAAGACCAAGGGUUCCUGUCCAACGUUAAUCGGGGCAGGGUGAGUCGACCCCUAAGGC
rnacentral:rRNA from 2 species